rnacentral:rRNA from 1 species
UACGGGGGGGGCAAGCGUUGUUCGGAAUUACUGGGCGUAAAGGGCUCGUAGGUGGCCAACUAAGUCAUACGUGAAAUCCCUCGGCUUAACCGGGGAACUGCGUCUGAUACUGGAUGGCUUGAGGUUGGGAGAGGGAUGCGGAAUUCCAGGUGUAGCGGUGAAAUGCGUAGAUAUCUGGAGGAACACCGGUGGCGAAGGCGGCAUCCUGGACCAAUUCUGACGCUGAGUGAGCGAAAGCCAGGGGAGCAAACGGG